rnacentral:rRNA from 1 species
CUCGUAGGUGGCCAACUAAGUCAGACGUGAAAUCCCUCGGCUUAACCGGGGAACUGCGUCUGAUACUGGAUGGCUUGAGUAUGGGAGAGGGAUGCGGAAUUCCAGGUGUAGCGGUGAAAUGCGUAGAUAUCUGGAGGAACACCGGUGGCGAAGGCGGCAUCCUGGACCAUUACUGACGCUGAGGAGCGAAAGCCAGGGGAGCAAC